GAAAGUGAAAUGAAAAACAGGAAUUUAGUUCUUGUGAGUUAAGAGGAUGCAGAGCAUAGGGUUAGAUGGAGGUGGAUCAUUCACUGUGGUGAUCCCUGAAGGAAACAGCCAAGAGAAAAAGGAUCAGAUUGCAAAAAAAAAUGUGGUUUGUUUGCAUACAUGAGUCUUUACGGUACCCACAGGACUCCUGAAGUAUAAGUACUCUGAAGUUUGCAGAGCAAUUUCAGAGAUGUUUGGGGCUUACAUGGCAAGCAUGUUUUUAGUUGCACAUCUAAAUUUUCUCUGCUCUCUGUUGCUGAUGGCAGAGUUCUGCCCCGCUGACCUCACAGGUGAGACACUCCCACCAGUGGACAAAGAGCACAGGAAAAUGUGUUGCCAACCACCUGAAACAGACAAAUAUCUGCUUUUUAAAACCCUUUAAACCCGUUAAAUGGACUGAUGCCAUUCAUUUCUUCUUUGAUUAACAGUAGUAACAUCCUUCAUGCACUGUAUACUAACCCAUAUGAUAAUCAUGCUUUAUGAAGUGAUGGCAAUUGCAUUGUAGCAUUUAAUGAAGAAAUAACAAAAUAAUCAUACCAAUGAUUAAGCACCAGUCUUCUUUUUUCUGUGUCUGUGUGUGUGUGUGUGUGUGUGUGUGUGUGUGUGUGUGUGUGUGUGUGUGUGUGUGUGUGUGUGUGUGUGUGUGUGUGAGAUACAGGUAAAUGCUGAAUUCCAGUGUAUUACAACACUUCAACUGGAGAUGACCUUCGCGGCACAGUUAGACAGAAUUACACCUCAGUUGAUGACAGUUUUCCAGAAGAAGGGCGGUGUUUCUGGGCAGAAACUUGCCCACCACUUGCAGAUCAUGCAAGAGGACAUUGAAGGAGAUGAUAUCUAGAGAGACCUGAAGAAGCACACCAUGGGCAUUUAUGUCAUCAACAGGGAGGAUGGACAAAAUGGACAUUAUGAUGACAUUGGAAUAUUUGUUGAAGGGGAGAUAGUCAUGGACAACAUUGGAUCUCUGGCCCAAGCUUGUGCAUUGAUGCUUGGAGUAAUCUAUGCACUAAACCUAGCCUUCCCCAAGGAAUUGAAGGACUAUUAUGAAUUCAUUUAGCAAGUGUUGAUGGGAUUCGAUGGUGAAAAGCUCUCCCCCAAAGUCUUUGGGCUGAAGAGCAAAAUUGCUACUGGAUAGGAAGAUUUCUAAAAUAACACAUCAAGAGAAUGCUGUUAUGUAAAUUACCAAUGACUGGUGCUCUUGUGAAUAGGAGUGAAACUCUUGUACAACCAUCAUUUGUUCUGUGUUAUGUUUCGAUUGAACAUUUUAACUUUCAAUAAUGAAUGUUUCACGUGUGGUACAUUUGAGUAGCUUGAAGAGCAACUUUGUAAUUAUUCAGUUAUAGCUGCUGCCCUGCGUAUAAUCAGUGUUAACUCAACCGGAUAAAAAAAACAAAAAAAACCAUUCAUGAUUACCACACUGCAGCACACUGGUAACACUUUAAAGACUAUUAAUUGUUUUGAAGCGAGUAUGUUAGGUCAGAAAAUAUGUAAAACAUUCAGAAUCUUCAAGGAAGGACUAGAAUGGAAAGACAGUGGUCAAUAAGCAGUAAGGAAAACACAAGUUUAAUUUUAAGUCUAAUUACCUUAUUAAAAUGCAAUUUCUAAAUAUGGAUCGCAGAACAGCAAGUCUGAAACUGGUUAGUUUGUGGAUGCAUCAGUUUCUAAUUGUGAUACAUUAUACUGCUGGUAGUGUUUUAUUCUUUUAUGUAAGGAGUUUGUUUGUUUUUUUCUUUUUUAGAGGAAGAGAAACAUUGGUUAACAUUUCUCUUGUCUGUUGUUUCUGUUUUGUUUGAAUACAGCUUUUUAAAGCUACUAGUUCAUAGGCAAAAGUUUUGUAAUUUGUAUUAUACAAAUUGCAGCAAUUUCCCUUAGAGAUGUGGAUUCUUAUUCUGUUUGCA
ensembl:lncRNA